rnacentral:lncRNA from 1 species
UAGAGCUACAACGGAGGGGUUUAAAAUCAUCUCGAGGAAGAAGGAGGAGAAAGAAAAAGAAGGAGAAGAAGAAGAUGACGAUGAUGAAGACGAAGAAGAAGGAGAAGACGAAGAAAAAAACCAACAGAUAGAAUCUGCGAAACAUCUGCACUGAUGAGGCCCAACGUAAUAACGAGCCACAGUGUACCAGUAGCGGCGACUAUGAGACAUCGCAGGCAAAUAUGAAUAUUGUCAUGUUAUGAAGACUCGUGUGUUGGGUGGACAGGUAUUGAGCAAGGCAUAUCAGAGAGAGAGAGGAAUAAUUGGUGCCAAGGUGCUAGGUCAUGAAGC